GUUUUCCAACAGGAAAGACAAAGUAAUUUAUUUAGAAUGUUUCAAAGCCAUAUUUCUCACAAACCUUAAUGGGUGGAAGUAAGUGGAAAUGGAUCUCUUUUGCCUUGAUGGUAUCAUAAAAUGAACUGCUCAUGUCUGAGCCAAGACAGGCUGAGCCUCCCAGGCCCACAGAGAAGCAGAAUCGCACAGCCGUGUCAGCAUACGCUGAAGGGCACGAAGCCAGGUCAGGGCUUCUUCCCCACUGGCUGGCUGCACAGAUGGACGGAUUUGGGCCAUAAAGGAAGCAGGCCGUGGGGAGGGGCUCUGUUCAUCUGUCACUUUAGAAAAUAUUUUAAAAGGAGGUUUGAUUUGCAUAUAUAUGCUGCCACAGAGCACAGUAUCUUGUGAGAUUUUUAAAUAGCAAGGAUAAAACAGUUUACCCUACUAAAUGCAGAUACAUCGAAACAUUUUCUUCGUACCAAAGUCAUUCUAUACGUCAUUGAGUUCACACAGUCCACCUGGGCACUUACGGAAGGAACACUUGGCAAAGCCUCAGAUGCUCUGCCAUGUUGCUAAGCGCUGCCACCCCCAGGAAAGGAGAAGCUGGUAAGCUUCUAAAUUCUACUCACUUAGACUGAAAAUGCUGACCGAGUCUCCAACCCCCAGCAGCAGUGGUGCACCGCCUCUGACCGUAUAAUCCAGAUCCUAAACUGAAAGAAAGUCAGAACCUGGAUCCCAAUUCCACUUGAGAGAGAGGAGAUUUCCUGACUCCUUCUCUUCCCCAAAACCAAUAAAAUGAAAAUAAAAUGUGAAAUGGAACUAGAUGACUCUUUAGUUCUGCCUUGUGGCUGGGGCUUGGAUGGGAUCUUCAAAUACAGAGAGGGCAAGGGGCAGAGAGUGUGCUCAGCUUCCUGGGGAACUUGGGACCUGUCAUCCUACUCAUCACCUCUCCUGUAUUCUCCCUGCACUGAAAUUCCUUUACCAACCUGGGGCUUCCUCCAUGACCUCUGAACCAGAACUUACAGACAUUUGGAAACCUGGCCAUGAUUCUGUUUGAGAGACAAAGACAUUUUGCAGUCCGUGUACUCACCACUCCUCCCCAUCCCUAAACCCAGCGUUGUGAAAAUAAAAUGUGAAAUUUUGUAAGAUGAAUGGGCCAAGAGUUGUCUACAUCUUGCAGGGCCAGCUCUCAGUGUGCAGACCCUGACUCACAGGGCUCAGGGAGAAUUCAUGGAACAGACCAGAGCAUGUCAGACACAACCAGAGAGGCUGGGGGCAGCAUGGAUUGGGCCACAUGAUACGUGUGAAAGGAAAAGAUGUCCCUUUUCAUAUUUCACAAGAUGUAACAGAUCAAGGAACUUCCUCUAGAAGUGCUUUAGAGAAACCCAAAUUUAGGGACCGG
rnacentral:lncRNA from 1 species